rnacentral:rRNA from 1 species
AGUGGCAAACGGCUGAGUAACGCGUAGGAACCUACCCCAAACUCGAGUAUAGCCCCGCGAAAGCGGGGGUAAUCCUCGAUAGCCCGUGAAGUAUUUUACUUCACGGUAAAGCUUUUGCGGUUUGGGAUGGGCCUGCGUCCUAUCAGGUAGUUGGUGAGGUAAAUGCUCACCAAGCCUAUGACGGGUAGCUGGUCUGAGAGGAUGGUCAGCCAGACUGGGACUGCGACACGGCCCAGACUCCUACGGGAGGCAGCAACUAGGAAUUGUGCGCAAUGGACGAAAGUCUGACGCCGCGACAUCGCGUGGAGGAUGAAGGUCUUCGGAUUGUAAACUCCUUUUCUUACCGAACAAGUUCUGAGUGUAGGUAAGGAAUAAGUGCCUGCUAACCACGUGCCAGAAGCAUCGGUAAUACGUGGGGCACGAGCGUUAUCCGGAUUUACUGGGCGUAAGGAGAAGCGUAGGCGGCUCAAUAAGUUUGGUGUUAAAUCUUCCGGCUCAACCGGAAACAAGCACCGAAAACUAUCGAGAUUGAGUCGAGUAGGGAAGAGGGGAAUUCCUGGUGGAGCGGUUAAAUGCGUAGAUAUCAGGAGGAAUACCAAGGGCGAAGGCACCUCUUUGGACUCGUACUGACGCUGAGGCUCGAAAGCGUGGGUAGCAAAACGGAUUAGAUACCCGUGUAGUCCACGCCGUAAACGAUCCCUGUUAGAUGUAUGUUUUGUC